UAUAGCAGGUGAGUGGUUUGUCGUCCUUGGCGGCACGACGACUGGUACAAGACGAGGGGUCGUGCGUCCAAGGAUAACUCCCCUAAACUCUAAAACCAUACUAAACUGAAAAAACUACAACCAUUUGACUGAGUUGCAUUGCGGUAGCAGGCAUGAAAAAGGUGGCGGAGACACCGAGUGCCGUUCCAAUGCCUUCAAAAAUGGCUCAUUGGAUCGUCAACACGAUAAACAAAAGGUACCAAACCAAAAGGGGUACCGCGGUCGAUAUGUCCAAAAAAGCAAGAACCCAAUUUAAAACAGCCCCUCAAAAAUGGUAACUGCUGGGUAUGAACCCCAUACCGACCAAAUGCGUAGCCACAAAUACGCAAAAUUGCACAAAACCGUGCUCGAGUGUGGUAAGCACUCGAAACCUACUACCGAAAUCCAAACCUUUGGCUAUGUUAAGGACUCGCUCUGACCUUAAAAGUGAGCAAGUUGUUUCGCCCCAUUUAUACAUCACGCACUUUACCAUACCGUUCAUAUCUCAUCUGUCGCCCCUACCAUACUUCACGCAUUACAAAUCCCGUUCUUCCAUCCCCGCAACAAAAUUAGUAGUGAAUACAGUCAGUGCUGUUCACCACGUACCGUGCAUAAAGUCGUGAUUGGAUAUUUUACCAUAAUAUCCAACACUCCAUACGAGACAACCGUGAAACAAAACGUUCUUGUGUAGGCGAGGCCUUGGAAAAUACCACCUUCUUGAAAACCUACCAAAACUUGUGUCAAAAUUCUAAACAUGCCAGCCUUAUUCGAAAUUCCCGCCAAUUCUCAAACCGAGAUUACAAACUGUAUUCUUGGCGAAAUAAGGUCUAAAUAAAAAAACUACUUCAAAUUAAUAUAUCUCAUUAAAUUUGAGUACUAAAAAACCAAAUCUCGUAACGUUAUAAACCAAAACUAUAUUGUAUUUAACUAAAUAAAUAUCAAUAUUUAAACAAAUUACAAAAUGAUUUUCCAAAACGAGCGUUUUUAUAAACGCUGAACUCGUUACGAACUUAAGAAAACACUACUAAAGUUUACGCGUUUCCGAACGCACCUUACUCUGUGUCAAAAAAAAACAAUUCCAUGACUUAACCUUACUUUGCACUUUAAACUAAUCUACAAAGAACAAAACUUUGGUUGCAAAUACCAUUUUAAUUUGGAAAACUACCAUCUAAUAUGAAACACAAGUCUUACGUUGUGUGAAGUACCGUUAAAAACUCGAAUUACGGUAAAUAUUAAAUACGCUAAAUCAGCGACUCAAAACUACACAGAGUUAACCGAAAACUACCAAAAAUACAGAUUACAUCAAAACCGUGCUGAAUUUGGAUAUUACCACUACAAAACAAAAGGCAUCCAGCCAUUUCUACAACUGGACUGCCGGAUCACAGGAAUUUAUAAUUUUGAAAAUGAAAUCAUGUCAAUUGUUCUGGAACUAUAAGCGCUAGCACGCCGAAGAAGAAUAUCUUCAUUCUUUAAGAAGUUAAAUGAUCAUGAAACACCACAAGCAUCUCGCCGGACACUACUGCCAGACCAGACUUCCAUACUAAACUGUUUCCCCUGCGGCUAUGCGGAGAUUUCUGAAAAACAAAAUGCCGACAUCGCUUCCACAGCUCCUUGGACCUAGGAUGAUCUCCAGAUUGGCUUGACCACCCUAAAUAAAUGUACCUAUCCAUAAGCUGUGAAAUUGAGUGUUGCGUUUCAACUUUAUUAAACUAAAUAUGCUACUGCAUUGAAAUUUCUGGUGCUUCAUGUUUACAAAAACUGUGCUGUGUAUAGAAAAUAAAAUAAAAUAAUGUUAACAUAA